GCAGACACAUUCCAGCCAAUCAGCAGCAGACCCUCCCUCCCAGACCCUCCCACCUCCUAGACAACAUCCAUUUUACAUUCAUUGUGAAGCUGCAUUCUUAGUGAGCUGUCAAGGAGGUGGGAGGGUCUGGGAGGGAGGGUCUGCUGCUGAUUGGCUGGAAUGUGUCUG
rnacentral:miRNA from 1 species